CUGCUCCUGCGUCAGUCUCAGUUCCUAGCUCUGCAUCUCAAGGCAACAACAUUUUCAAGACCAGGAUUGAAGGUGCAAACAACGUUGAUGCAGGUAAUGUGAAAAUAUAGAGUAAUGUACCAAAGUAGAUCGUAAGUACCUUUAUUAGUUCCUAAUUCAUAUCUACUUAGUGUUGGGUUGACUGGUUUUUGUUUCCUGAUUCUGUGUAUCAAACUAAAUUUUUUUCCUUGCAUUGUUCCAAAGUGCAGAUGCUGGCGCUGCAACAGCCCAAGCGGACAAAAAGAAAUCUUCAACAGCAAGAACGAAACAUACGGUGGUUGUUCCAAAGUCUAGGUCUUAGUUUCCGUAAUCAAAGAAAUGAGCAUGUUUUUGUUGUCCAUAGGACAAGUGUUAAUUUCUCUUUAUCAUUGGGCCUUUGUUUUUGGCAACGCGAGCAAAAUGGACUGGCUCCCCACCGGCAAGCAUCCUCUUUGCCCCUUUUGUAAUGAUGACACUAAACAUGUCCUAUAUCCUUGUGAUUGUUGGAUU
rnacentral:lncRNA from 1 species